UACGAAGGGGGCUAGCGUUGCUCGGAAUCACUGGGCGUAAAGCGCACGUAGGCGGACUCUUAAGUCGGUGGUGAAAUCCUGUGGCUCAGCUGCAGGGCUGCCUCCUAGACUGUCGGGCUUGAGCACGGUAGAGGCAGAUGGAAUUCCCGGUGUAGCGGUGGAAUGCGUAGAGAUCGGGAAGAACAUCGGUGGCGAAGGCGGUCUGCUGGGCCGUUGCUGGACGCUGAGGCGCGACAGCGGUGGGGGAGCAAACAGG
rnacentral:rRNA from 1 species